UCCCUGGUAGCUCAGUUGGUAAAGAAUUUGCCUGCAAUGCAGGAGACUCUGGUUUAAUUCCUGAAUUGGGAA
rnacentral:tRNA from 1 species